rnacentral:rRNA from 1 species
UACGAAGGGGGGCUAGCGUUGCUCGGAAUCACUGGGCGUAAAGCGCACGUAGGGCGGAUCUUUUAAAGUCAGGGGGUGAAAUCCCAAGGCUCAAACCUUGGAACUGCCUUUUGAUACUGGGGGAUCUCGAGUCCGGAAGAGGUUGGUGGAACUGCGAGUGUAGAGGUGAAAUUCGUAGAUAUUCGCAAGAACACCAGUGGCGAAGGCGGCCAAACUGGUCCGGUACUGACGCUGAGGUGCGAAAGCGUGGGGAGCAAACAGGG